rnacentral:rRNA from 1 species
AGAGUUUGAUGGUGGCUCAGAUUGAACGCUGGCGGCAGGCCUAACACAUGCAAGUCGAACGGUAACAGGAAGUGCUUGCACUUCGCUGACGAGUGGCGGACGGGUGAGUAAUACUUAGGGAUCUGCCUUCGGGAGGGGGAUAACCAUUGGAAACGAUGGCUAAUACCGCAUAACGUCCACGGACCAAAGGGGGCUUUUAGCUCUCGCCUGAAGAGGAACCUAAGCGAGAUUAGCUAGUUGGUGGGGUAAAGGCUCACCAAGGCGACGAUCUCUAGCUGUUCUGAGAGGAAGAUCAGCCACACUGGGACUGAGACACGGCCCAGACUCCUACGGGAGGCAGCAGUGGGGAAUAUUGCACAAUGGGGGAAACCCUGAUGCAGCCAUGCCGCGUGUGUGAAGAAGGCCUUCGGGUUGUAAAGCACUUUCAGUCGUGAGGAAAGGUUAACGGUUAAUACCCGUUAGCUGUGACGUUAGCGACAGAAGAAGCACCGGCUAACUCCGUGCCAGCAGCCGCGGUAAUACGGAGGGUGCGAGCGUUAAUCGGAAUUACUGGGCGUAAAGCGCACGCAGGCGGAUUGUUAAGCUAGAGGUGAAAGCCCCGCGCUCAACGUGGGAAUUGCCUUUAGAACUGGCAGUCUAGAGUCUUGGAGAGGGGAGUGGAAUUCCAGGUGUAGCGGUGAAAUGCGUAGAGAUCUGGAGGAACAUCAGUGGCGAAAGGCGACUCCCUGG